UAGUUUUGUACCCAGCUCUCUUGAGGGUUGUGGAGUGUAGCUAGUAUUGAACAUGGAGAUCAAUUAUGCUCUGGCAUUGCUCUUAGUCCUCAUUCUCAACUUGGGUAGUUUGCUCACUUCUCUUGCUAACUCCUAUUGCCCACCACCAACAUACCCUCCAGUUCCUCACUUGCCACCCAAACACCCUCCCCAUGUAACUCCACCCUUCCACCCUAAACCACCAAAGAAGCCACCACCAUAUGUCAAACCACCUCAUGCAAAGCCUCCUCCUCAUGUACCAAUCAAACCCCCUCAUGUUAAACCACCCAUUGUAAAACCACCUCCUUAUCCGAAACCUCCAGUUGCCAAACCACCUCCCCAUCCCAAACCUCCUGUUGUCAAACCACCUCCCCAUCCCAAACCUCCUGUUGUCAAACCACCUCCCCAUCCCAAACCUCCUGUUGUCAAACCACCUCCCUAUCCCAAACCUCCUGUUGUCAAACCACCUCACCUAUCCCAAACCUCCUGUUGUCAAACCACCCUCCCUAUCCCAAACCUCCUGUUGUCAAACCACCUCCCUAUCCCAAACCUCCUGUUGUCAAACCACCUCACCAUCCCAAGCCUCCUGUUGUCAAACCACCUCCCCAUCCCAAACCUCCUGUUGUCAAGCCUCCAGUUGUCAAACCACCUCCCCAUCCCAAACCACCAGUUGUACUGCCUCCACCAUAUACCCCGAAGCCCCGGUUGUACUGCCUUCCACCAUAUACCCCGAAGCCCCCGGUUGUGCUGCCUCCACCAUAUACCCCGAAGCCCCCGGUUGUGGCCUCCACCAUAUCCCCCGAACCCCCCCGGUGUAUGUGCUGCCUCCACCAUAUACCCCGAAGCCCCCGGUUGUACUGCCUCCACCAUAUACCCCGAAGCCCCCGGUUGUACUGCCUCCACCAUAUACCCCGAAGCCCCCGGUUGUACUGCCUCCACCAUAUACCCCGAAGCCCCCGGUUGUACUGCCUCCACCAUAUACCCCGAAGCCCCCAGUUGUACUGCCUCCACCAUAUACCCCCAAGCCCCCAGUUGUACUGCCUCCACCAUAUACCCCCAAGCCCCCAGUUGUACUGCCUCCACCUUCACCACCUGUUGUAGUGCCAAGCCCACCAUCAACACCAACCCCAACCCCAGUUGUCCCAGUGAAGCCUC
rnacentral:lncRNA from 1 species